GAGCACGUAGGUGGGUUUGUAAGUCAGACGUGAAAGCCUUCUGUUCAACGGAAGAAUUGCAUCUGAAACUACAAAUCUUGAGUGUAGGAGGGGAGAAUGGAACUUCUGGUGGAGCGGUGAAAUGCGUAGAUAUCAGAAGGAACGUCGGCGGCGAAAGCGACUCUCUGGCCUAUUACUGACACUCAGUGUGCGAAAGCUAGGGGAGCAAACGGGAUUAGAUACCCCGGUAGUCCUAACUGUAAACGAUGGGCACUAAGUAGAGGGG
rnacentral:rRNA from 1 species